GCCCAGAUGGCGGAAUUGGUAGACGCGCAGGCUUCAGGUGCCUGUGUCCGCAAGGACGUGGAAGUUCGAGUCUUCUUCUGGGCA
rfam:Saccharibacter sp. AM169, AM168, WGS project CBLY01000000 data, contig: NODE_2